UACGAAGGGGGCUAGCGUUGCUCGGAAUUACUGGGCGGAAAGCGCACGUAGGCGGCUUUCUAAGUCGGGGGUGAAAUCCUGGAGCUCAACUCCAGAACUGCCUUCGAUACUGGAGAGCUCGAGUCCGGGAGAGGUGAGUGGAACUGCGAGUAUAGAGGUGAAAUUCGUAGAUAUUCGCAAGAACACCAGUGGCGAAGGCGGCUCACUGGCCCGGUACUGACGCUGAGGUGCGAAAGCGUGGGGAGCAAACAGG
rnacentral:rRNA from 1 species